rnacentral:tRNA from 1 species
GUCAGGGUAGCUCAGAUGGUUAGAGCACAGCAUUCAUAACGCUGAGGUCGGGAGUUCGAUUCUCCCCUCUGACA